rnacentral:rRNA from 1 species
GGAUCAUUACCGAGUUGCAUAAACUCCAAAACCCUAUGUGAACCUUACCGUCGUUGCCUCGGCGUGAGCCGCGGCUACCCGGGAGCUACCCUGGAGGCGCUACCCUGUAGCGUCUACCCGGGAGCUGCCCCGUAGCCGGCCCACGGCCCGCCGGAGGACCGCCGAACUCUUGCAUUUCUGACACUGUAUCUCUGAACGCGUAACUGAAACAAGUUAAAACUUUCAACAACGGAUCUCUUGGUUCUGGCAUCGAUGAAGAACGCAGCGAAAUGCGAUAAGUAAUGUGAAUUGCAGAAUUCAGUGAAUCAUCGAAUCUUUGAACGCACAUUGCGCCCGCUAGCAUUCUGGCGGGCAUGCCUAUUCGAGCGUCAUUUCGACCCUUAAGCCCCUGUUGCUUAGCGUUGGGAGUCUACGGCUGCGGCGUAGUUCCCGAAAGUCAGUGGCGGAGUUGGGGCACACCCUCGGCGUAGUAAGUUUUCCCUCGCCUGCGUGGUGGCCCCGGCUGCUGGCCGUUAAACGACCCCUAUAUCUUUCUAGUGGUUGGCCUCGAAUUAGGUAGGAAUACCCGCUGAACUUAAGCAUAUCAAUAAGCGGAGGAAAAGAAACCAACAGGGAUUGCCCUAGUAACGGCGAGUGAAGCGGCAACAGCUCAAAUUUGAAAUCUGGCCCUCGCGGUCCGAGUUGUAAUUUGUAGAGGAUGCUUUAGGCGCGGCGCCUUCCGAGUUCCCUGGAACGGGACGCCGGAGAGGGUGAGAGCCCCGUACGGUUGGACGCCUAGCCUGCGUAUAGCUCCUUCGACGAGUCGAGUAGUUUGGGAAUGCUGCUCUAAACGGGAGGUAAAUUUCUUCUAAAGCUAAAUACCGGCCAGAGACCGAUAGCGCACAAGUAGAGUGAUCGAAAGAUGAAAAGCACUUUGAAAAGAGGGUUAAAUAGCACGUGAAAUUGUUGAAAGGGAAGCGUUUGCGACCAGACCUUUUCCGGGGGGAUCAGCCGGCGUUCUCGACGGUGCACUCCCUCCGGGUUUAGGCCAGCAUCGGUUCCCUUAGGGGGAUAAAGGCCUGGGGAAAGUAGCUCCUCAGGGAGUGUUAUAGCCCCUCGCGUAAUACCCCUCGGGGGACCGAGGACCGCG